GACGAACGCUGGCGGCGCGCCUAAUACAUGCAAGUAGAACGCAGUUGCGAACGGGUGAGUAACGCGUAGGUAACCUGCCUCAUAGCGGGGGAUCACUAUUGGAAACGAUAGCUAAUACCGCGUACUGUGAGAUGGACCUGCGUUGUAUUAGCUAGUUGGUGAGGUAAAGGCUCACCAAGGCGACGAUACAUAGCCGACCUGAGAGGGUGGUCGGCCACACUGGGUCUGAUGCACGGCCCAGUCUCCUACGGGAGCCAGCAGUAGGGAAUCUUCGGCAAUGGACGGAAGUCUGGCCUAGCAACGCCCCGUGGGUGGCGACGGUUUUCGGAUCGUCUAGCUCUGUUUUUAGAGAAGCGGUCACUAGCAAGAGACGGACGGCUAACUACGUGCCAGCAGCCGCGGUAAUAC
rnacentral:rRNA from 1 species